UACGUAGGGGGCAAGCGUUGUCCGGAUUUAUUGGGCGUAAAGAGCGUGUAGGCGGCUUGGUAGGUCCGCUGUGAAAACUCGAGGCUCAACCUCGAGAUGUCGGCGGAAACCACUUGGCUAGAGUCCGGAAGAGGAGAGUGGAAUUCCUGGUGUAGCGGUGAAAUGCGUAGAGAUCGGAAAGAACACCAACGGCGAAAGCACUCUGCUGGGCCGACACUGACACUGAGAGACGAAAGCUAGGGGAGCGAAUGGG
rnacentral:rRNA from 1 species